rnacentral:lncRNA from 1 species
AAACAACAUCAAGAUGAACACAUAUUGGAAAACAAUGAUGAUAGGUUCACAAACAUACAUAAAUAUAUAUUCACACAGGUUCACAAGCAUAGUUUGACCAUCCAGAACACACAAGUCAAAGGGCCACUAUUUGCUAGUCUGAACUAAUUCAAACAAUGGUCCAGAACACAUAAAUCACAUACAUGAGCACAAAGUUUCUACUCCAAAACACUUGAAGCACCAAAUGGUCCAGAACACACAUAAGAUUCAAGAAAUGAUUGAAGUUGGUUGGUCCAAAAUACUGCAAACAGCCAUAUGUGUUCCAUGACACUACAAGUCCUCCUCACAUCCAAUGCUAGGUGUGGCUAAGUACCUGAAAAUAUUCCAUAUGAAUUUGUCACGAAAGUGCAAUCAUUCCAAAAGUUGUUCAAAGCUCAUAUGAAGAUUGUUAGGCUAGAGCGGCACAUGCUAGCUUAUACUUGAUUGUUCAUGUGAGAGUAACAUUGUUAUAUGACCAUGAAUACACACAAAUAUAUUUGUUCCUAUGCGGUGAAGUGUAGUGUUGCGGGCUUCCUUCUCCACAGGAAUCAAUCACCACAGGAAACAAUGUUCUGCUAUUUUUGUCAACAUCAUUUGAUCAACACACUUGAGUUCCUUUUGGUUUCAUGUCCCAGAAUUAUUAGCAAGAGCAUUCCCAGAAAAUCUACUUGUGCAUAUAUGCUACAGAAAUGCUUAUGACGAGUAAAACACAUUCUCAAAAAUAAGCUUGGUAUGGCAACAAACAAACUAAACUAAUACAAGGGGAAAGGAUGCAGAAUUAGGAUGUGGCUAUUUUCAAGUUUGUAACAUAUUUGACCAAGAUCAGGACAUGGAUUAUCAAUAUGCUUCCGCAGAAUCGUUUCUUAAUUGAGCCGCACGACACCAUCAGAAUUACAAUAUUCUAUUCUGGAGCUCAAAGUUCAGACUGGUGGCAAGUUAAUAAGCUAACAUGGCAGCUCUGUGAGUCUGCAACAGGUUAUAAAGGAUAAGAUGAUGCCUACAAACUUGGCAAUAAAUACCAUAAGAUAGGAUUCCUGAUCAGCAAUAUUAUUUGUUAACAACUCAUAGUAGUAGUUGUAGCUUGUUAUAUUUAAGAACAGGCAGUGGUAGUUUAUAAAGAAAUGGGCUUGUCAGAUACUAAGAGUUGUAGGUUGUAAUAAUAUUCAAGAACUGGCAGUAGUAGAUUGUACUAAACUUUUAUAUGCUAUAGAGGAAACAUGGCUGGGCCUUAUGUAGUUAUGUUGCACUUCUUUGUACAUUGUCUUGACACAUUCAGUUUACUUCUAAUGUAUAAAUUAGAUGAAGAGAUACUACAAUAUCACGAGCCAUUGAGGAUGAAGCUGAGGUUACCAUCCAUGAUCUAUUUAAAGAGGAAAUAAAAAUCUAAAGCUUCAACAAGUAGAGGCAACUGCUGUUAGUACCUGCACCUCCUGGCACAUUAGUUGUCUUCUUGGCAUCUUUGAUCUGCAACAAGACAACAACAAUCAUUACUCUUUGGUCUGAUUCCCAAAACAACUGAAAAAUAGGCAUUCAAAAAUAGGCCUACAUGUAAUUAUUACUAGUACGAAUGCCGUGCUACAAUCUUCAACUUCAGUAUCAAAUAUACUGUCAUCAGAGACGCCCGAGUAGUUCCGCUGCACUGAGAGCGCUCUGCUGAUGUUGCACAGCACGGCCUGCUCGUGCUGCUGCUCUUGCAUGCUCAGGCUGCGGGCGUCCGGAAAGAAGAAAAAUUGUAGAGCUGCGGCAGCAGCAGCUUCAGGUGCUGAUGUGCUCUUGAGGAAUCCUUCCAUGUUGGUAAAUUCAGUCUCCGGUUUCUUAGCAUAGAUAAGAUAAAUAGCAAUUUCUUAGUCUGUGUUGCUACUCAUUAAUUCUUUUAGACCACCGAUGUGGUUAGUAAAAAGAUCAAAAAGUUCAGCAUAACUCAGACCGACGUGGAUAGUUCACACGGGUUAAUUUGUUGUUUCAUGUGCACAUAUUAAUCAAAUAAAUUCUUCCAAUCUAGUUAAUUGUGCUGCUGGAUUUUGGUGGUCAUUCUGAAUGUAUAAAUUUGUUGUGCGGAUCUCUAAACUAAUAUGGAUCUGUUUACGAACUAUAACUUAGCACUAUAUCAAGUUCUUGCUAUCAGUUUGAUUUUGGUGGUCCAAGUGGAUAUAUACACGAGUCAUACAGCCACAGUCUGCACUAUUUGGUUAAUGAGAACGGGAGGAGCACAACACUGACCCCAUCGCUUAUCUCAGCCAGCUUCAGGUCCACCAUGGCCACCUACACCGAGCGCCAUAUCACGUCCCCGAGCUUCGUUGUCGACUCAUCUACACCAACCCAAUCACCACAAACAGAGAUAUCAGAACAGUUCAUGACAUAAUUAUACCGCUUAUGAGUUGGGGAAAAAGGAAACUUUGAUGUACCUAGGCUUAGACAACCACGUUUUGUCCAUGAUGCACCAUUAAUAUCAAAUUUGCCAAGUAUCUGAAUUUGGCUAGUGCGACAGUGUUAGUUUUGCAUCGGUGAAGCAACAAUCAUUAUUCAUUAUUCAGGCAAAUAGCAGUACAAAACAAUCAAGCAACAGAAACACAUUCUUGUCCGGUUGUCUACUGUCACAAGCAACGACAUAUGAAUUAAGUGCAGCAGUAUAGCAAAGGAAAACUUAGGAGGAGUUGACGCUUACCUCAAGGCACGGGGACGGCUGGAUUCGGGAGGGGCACAACUCGAAGGAGAUGGAGCCCCGGCAGUAGGUCCGAUAGCAGCGUAAUGAGCCUGGAGAUGGAUCCCUGGCAUCAGCAUGUCCGGCAGCAGCGGGAGGCCGGCAAUGGAGCCCCGAUAGCAGCUGAUCCGGCAGCAGCGGGAGCACGACGAUGGAGCCCCGGAGGUAGCAGGGAUGGAGAUUCGCGAGGACGACGGCUGGAUGUCAGGAGGACACGAGGACGGCCGUCGGAUUGUGGAGUGCAAGGACCGCGGCUCGAUCUCGGGGAGAGGGGGUAGAGUGCGAGGAUGGGUGGAUGUGGGGUGGAGCUUGGGGGAGGGGGGGUGCGACCUCCGGGACGACGGCUUGACGACGGGGUCGAGCGCGAGGCCGGCGGCGAUGGCGGCCGGACUUUGGAUCGAGCGCGAGGCCGGCGGCGAUGGCGUCCGGACCGUGGAUCGAGCGCGAGGUGGGCGGCGACAGGGCACGGGUUAGGGUUGUGGAGUUGUUCGAUUUGGGGAUUGUUUGCUCGGGGGUGGAGGUUAUUUUGCACAAAAACCCGAAAAAUUUCCACCCACGCCGAAAU